CACGUAGGGUGCGAGCGUUGUCCGGAAUUAUUGGGCGUAAAGAGCUCGUAGGCGGUCCGUCACGUCGGAUGUGAAAUUCCAGGGCUCAACCCUGGACCUGCAUUCGAUACGGGCGGACUAGAGUUCGGUAGGGGAGACUGGAAUUCCUGGUGUAGCGGUGAAAUGCGCAGAUAUCAGGAGGAACACCGGUGGCGAAGGCGGGUCUCUGGGCAAUAACUGACGCUGAGGAGCGAAAGCGUGGGGAGCGAACAGG
rnacentral:rRNA from 1 species